CACACCGCCCGUCACAUCAUGGGAGUUGGUUUUGCCCGAAGACGGUGUGCUAACCCGCAAGGGAGGCAGCCGGCCACGGUAAGGUCAGCGACUGGGAUG
rnacentral:rRNA from 1 species